AGUGAACGCUGGCGGUAGGCCUAACACAUGCAAGUCGAACGGCAGCACAGUAAGAGCUUGCUCUUACGGGUGGCGAGUGGCGGACGGGUGAGGAAUACAUCGGAGUCUACUUUUUCGUGGGGGAUAACGUAGGGAAACUUACGCUAAUACCGCAUACGACCUACGGGUGAAAGCAUGGGAUCUUCGGACCUUGCGCGAUUGAAUGAGCCGAUGUCGGAUUAGCUAGUUGGCGGGGUAAAGGCCCACCAAGGCGACGAUCCGUAGCUGGUCUGAGAGGAUGAUCAGCCACACUGGGACUGAGACACGGUCCAGACUCCUACGGGAGGCAGCAGUGGGGAAUAUUGGACAAUGGGCGCAAGCCUGAUCCAGCCAUACCGCGUGGGUGAAGAAGGCCUUCGGGUUGUAAAGCCCUUUUGUUGGGAAAGAAAAGCAGCAGGUUAAUACCCCGCUGUUCUGACGGUACCCAAAGAAUAAGCACCGGCUAACUUCGUG
rnacentral:rRNA from 1 species